rnacentral:rRNA from 1 species
GUGAAUUCUUAGACCGUCGUAGACUAACUAAAGCGAAAGCAUUUGCCAAGGAUGUUUUCAUUAAUCAAGAACGAAAGUUAGAGGAUCGAAGGCGAUUAGAUACCGCCCUAGUUCUAACUGUAAACUAUGACAGCUAGCGAUUGGGUGUCACUACUUUAUGGGGCCCUCGGUAGCCUUCCGGGAAACCAAAGCUAGUUUCCGGGGGAGGUAUGGUUGCAAAGUUGAGACUUAAAGGAAUUGACGGAAGAGUACCACCCGGAAUGGAGUUUGCGGUUUAAUUUGACUCAACACCGGGAGGGGA